AUACGAAGGGGGCUAGCGUUGUUCGGAAUUACUGGGCGUAAAGCGCGCGUAGGCGGAUUGGUCAGUUAGGGGUGAAAUCCCAGGGCUUAACCCUGGAACUGCCUCUAAUACUGCCAGUCUUGAGUUCGGGAGAGGUGAGUGGAAUUCCUAGUGUAGAGGUGAAAUUCGUAGAUAUUAGGAAGAACACCAGUGGCGAAGGCGGCUCACUGGCCCGAUACUGACGCUGAGGCGCGAAAGCGUGGGGAGCAAACAGGAUUAGAUACCCCAGUAGUCC
rnacentral:rRNA from 1 species